GUUUCCUAGUGAGAUGAGACACUCUUGAGGACGGGACCUACUUUCUUCCCCUUAUCAAACAGCCCAAAUGCAGAACACAUUGAUACUGCUCAGUAACCAAGCAUGAAGCAAGUUGUAGGAUUCACAAUAUCACGGUUUGCUAUAAAAUGAGCCACUGAUUUAACUUGAUGGAUUCCGGAGAUGCCAGGAAAGAGGGACAGCAUAUCCUCCUUGCCUGGAUCCCAAAUUGGCAGUUGAACAGCUUGGAAGCCAGCAUCUGAAGAGCUGUGGCUGCUGGCUGCUGUAGCCAGUGACGGUCACUCCAAGAUGCUGUACAGAAUGGUCACCUGCCUUUGGCUAUAUGGGCUGAGGAGCUGUCUCUCUUUGAGAACUGUGUAUCUUCCGGGAGAGGGAAAAGGCAAGACAGCAGAGCCACAAAAGGCUCUUAAGGCUUUCCGCUUCCACCAUUUCACUGGCCAAACAUGAUAUCAACUAGCAAUCCUGGAUGGUAGACCAAGAGAAUCAACUGACCUCUUCUGUCAUUGAACCAAUGAGAGACCCAGAAAGAACCAACUGUAGGACUCUUGGCCAAGCUGAAUGUCAACCUCUUCCCAGCCUACUUCCUAAUAUGGAAAAAAGCAUUCAUAUGCAUAGAGGGUAUUCAGUCUAAAGUUAGCCUUAACAGAAGCUAAAAAGACUUGGCCAGAGGUGAGGGAGAAUAAAGAAGAUAUAAAGCUCCCAUGAAAGUGAAAACAUAAAACAGGUAAGAAAGGUGGGCUUUGUAAAAGGUGAGAAGGAAGGCAAAUCCAUUCAUGAAGGAUAUUUGUUGGACGAUCCCAUGCCAGGACUUACCUGCUUAGCCCAGGAAGACAUCUGAGCCUUCCAUCCACGUUGCUGGUAUGAGGAUACUGAGGGCUGGUAUUUCCACUUUUCUAACUCUCCCAUCCCUUUCCUCCAAGCCAGCCUAUACAUCCUCUUUUGUAAUUCAUGCAAAUGGGAGUCUCUGCAUUUUUUGCCAACGUGGGAGUACAUUUGGUUUUCAAGUGCAUGGGAUCAUGUUAUAUUUUGAAAUAAAAAUUGUAAUUGGAUUAUGCUCAAUUGCAGUUGUAAUAGUAUUGGCUCUUGGUAUGGAAUAUGAAUGAGGUCAACUGAAAGGAAGUAAUUCAUUCCUCUAAUGACAACAUCUUGGUUUAUGAAAUGAAAAAAAAGAUCAAAGCUCAUUCAAAAAUAAAUGUA